rnacentral:rRNA from 1 species
GGAAUUUUGGACAAUGGACGCAAGUCUGAUCCAGCCAUGCCGCGUGCGGGAAGAAGGCCUUCGGGUUGUAAACCGCUUUUGUCAGGGAAGAAACGCUCUGGGUUAAUACCUCGGGGUAAUGACGGUACCUGAAGAAUAAGCACCGGCUAACUACGUGCCAGCAGCCGCGGUAAUACGUAGGGUGCAAGCGUUAAUCGGAAUUACUGGGCGUAAAGCGUGCGCAGGCGGUUAUGCAAGACAGAGGUGAAAUCCCCGGGCUCAACCUGGGAACUGCCUUUGUGACUGCAUAGCUAGAGUACGGUAGAGGGGGAUGGAAUUCCGCGUGUAGCAGUGAAAUGCGUAGAUAUGCGGAGGAACACCGAUGGCGAAGGCAAUCCCCUGGACCUGUACUGACGCUCAUGCACGAAAGCGUGGGGAGCAAACAGGAUUAGAUACCCUGGUAGUCCACGCCCUAAACGAUGUCAACUGGUUGUUGGGAGGGUUUCUUCUCAGUAACGUAGCUAACGCGUGAAGUUGACCGCCUGGGGAGUACGGCCGCAAGGUUGAAACUCAAAUGAAUUGACGG